rnacentral:rRNA from 1 species
AUCCUGGCUCAGGAUGAACGCUGGCGGCGUGCUUAACACAUGCAAGUCGAACGAACCUUCGGGUUAGUGGCGGACGGGUGAGUAACGCGUGAGAAUCUGCCCUCAGGAGGGGGAUAACGGCUGGAAACGGCCGCUAAUACCCCAUAUGCCGAGAGGUGAAAUGAAUUUCGCCUGAGGAUGAGCUCGCGUCUGAUUAGCUAGUUGGUGGGGUAAAGGCCUACCAAGGCGACGAUCAGUAGCUGGUCUGAGAGGAUGAUCAGCCACACUGGGACUGAGACACGGCCCAGACUCCUACGGGAGGCAGCAGUGGGGAAUUUUCCGCAAUGGGCGAAAGCCUGACGGAGCAACGCCGCGUGAGGGAUGAAGGCCUCUGGGCUGUAAACCUCUUUUAUCAAGGAAGAAGAUCUGACGGUACUUGAUGAAUAAGCCACGGCUAAUUCCGUGCCAGCAGCCGCGGUAAUACGGGAGUGGCAAGCGUUAUCCGGAAUUAUUGGGCGUAAAGCGUCCGCAGGCGGUUUUACAAGUCUGUCGUUAAAACGUGGAGCUUAACUCCAUUUCGGCGAUGGAAACUGUAAGACUAGAGUGUGGUAGGGGCAGAGGGAAUUCCCGGUGUAGCGGUGAAAUGCGUAGAUAUCGGGAAGAACACCAGUGGCGAAGGCGCUCUGCUGGGCCAUAACUGACGCUCAUGGACGAAAGCCAGGGGAGCGAAAGGGAUUAGAUACCCCUGUAGUCCUGGCCGUAAACGAUGAACACUAGGUGUCGGGGGAAUCGACCCCCUCGGUGUCGUAGCCAACGCGUUAAGUGUUCCGCCUGGGGAGUACGCACGCAAGUGUGAAACUCAAAGGAAUUGACGGGGGCCCGCACAAGCGGUGGAGUAUGUGGUUUAAUUCGAUGCAACGCGAAGAACCUUACCAGGGUUUGAAAUCAUUUCAAAACUCCUUGAAAGAGGAGCCUCCUUCGGGAUGAAAUGACAGGUGGUGCAUGGCUGUCGUCAGCUCGUGUUGUGAAAUGUCGAGUUAAGUCUCGUAACGAGCGCAACCCAUGUCUCUUGUUGCUCAUUGAGUGCUUAAGAGAGACUGCCGACCAACAUCGGAGGAAGGUGUGGAUGAUGUCAAGUCAGCAUGCCCCUUACAUCCUGGGCUACACACGUACUACAAUGGUAGGGACAAUGAGCUGCGAUCCUGCGAAGGCUAGCCAAUCUCAAAAACCCUAUCUCAGUUCGGAUUGUACUCUG